rnacentral:tRNA from 1 species
GCGCUCGUAGCUCAGCUGGAUAGAGCAUCAGACUUCGAAUCUGAGGGUCGGGGGUUCGAAUCCCUCCGAGCGCGCCA